rnacentral:rRNA from 1 species
UGGGGAAUUUUGGACAAUGGGGGCAACCCUGAUCCAGCAAUGCCGCGUGUGUGAAGAAGGCCUUCGGGUUGUAAAGCACUUUUGUCCGGGAAGAAAUCCCCUGCCCUAAUACGGCGGGGGGAUGACGGUACCGGAAGAAUAAGCACCGGCUAACUACGUGCCAGCAGCCGCGGUAAUACGUAGGGUGCGAGCGUUAAUCGGAAUUACUGGGCGUAAAGCGUGCGCAGGCGGUGAUGUAAGACCGAUGUGAAAUCCCCGGGCUCAACCUGGGAACUGCAUUGGUGACUGCAUUGCUCGAGUAUGGCAGAGGGGGGUGGAAUUCCACGUGUAGCAGUGAAAUGCGUAGAGAUGUGGAGGAACACCGAUGGCGAAGGCAGCCCCCUGGGCCAAUACUGACGCUCAUGCACGAAAGCGUGGGGAGCAAACAGGAUUAGAUACCCUGGUAGUCCACGCCCUAAACGAUGUCAACUGGUUGUCGGGCCUUCAUUGGCCUGGUAACGUAGCUAACGCGUGAAGUUGACCGCCUGGGGAGUACGUCGCAAGAUUAAAACUCAAAUGAAUUG